rnacentral:rRNA from 1 species
CCCUUAGAUGUCCUGGGCCGCACGCGUGCUACACUGACGCAUCCAGCGAGUACUCCCGGCUCCGCAAUGGCAGCUGGUAAUCAUCAAUAUGCGUCGUGAUGGGGAUAGAUCUCUGGAAUUUUUGAUCUUGAACGAGGAAUGCCUAGUAAGCGCAGGUCAUCAGCCUGCGUUGAUUAAGUCCCUGCCCUUUGUACACACCGCCCGUCGCUCCUACCGAUUUCGAGUGGUCCGGUGAACCUUUCGGACCGGGAGCAGCCUCGUGCUGCGCCUGGAAAGUCAAGUAAACCACAUCACUUAGAGGAAGGAGAAGUCGUAACA